GUCCCAGUAGAACAUUGCCCAAAGCAUCAUGGUGCCUCUGCUGGCUUGCAUUCUCCCCAUUGUGAAUCCUGGUGUCAGGUGUUGUCCUAGGUAAGAGAUGCACAUGGACCUGGUCAUCCACUUGAUGUUUCCCAGUGCUCUGUGGUCCAGUUUUGAUGCUCACUGUCAUGGUCCGGUUCCUGGACUCACUUUGACUUAAGCUUGAAGCUUAAGCUUCUCUCUUGGACUCAGGAUACCUUACCCCCAUCUUGGAUAUCACUCUGUGCCCUCCUCCCACCUCACACCAUCAGGAACCUCCAAAUCUCAGGUUAGCCAUUCCACACCGUUCAGCUCACUCUGGAUUCACGUCAACCAUCCCUCAUCGCUUACUGCAUCCACCUGCAAUGACUUUGAGCACCACCCGAACCACAACCUGCACCCCAGAUUCCCCUUUAGCUCCCGGUUCAUGUUCACCACUCCUAGAGUCUGAUAUCCACCCAA